CAUCAACCACCACUGCCACGACGACCACAGGCCCCUCUGCCACAACGACCCCGGAAACCUCCACCUCAACCCCAAGCCCCUCCACCUCGACAACCCCAGACACCUACACCACAACGACCCCAGGCACCUCUGCCUCGACCUGGGACCCCUCCACCUCCACCUUGACAACCCCAGACACCUCCAGCUUGAAAACCCCAGAGCCCUCCACCUUGACCCGAGACUCCUCCACCUUGACGACCCCAGAGCCCUCCACCUUGACGACCCCAGAGCCCUCCACCUUGACGACCCCAGAGCCCUCCACCUUGACGACCCCGGAGCCCUCCACCUUGACGACCCCGGAGCCCUCCACCUUGANCCCCCCCCCCCCCCCCCCCAACAGGUCACUUUAAGGGUCAGGACCCCCUCUUCCCUUGCAUAGGGCUGGGCCUCCUCCAAUUCAAAUAAAUAAGUAUCAAGUCACUGGUGUCACUGGUUUGUACUGGGAUGACCGGACCUGCUCCAAUUCCCCAUAAAUGACUACUAAGGCACUGGUGGCCCUGGUUUGUACGGGGAUGGCUCCAACAUGCACGGGGCUGUUAAUUCCUUGCCCUGGGACAGCCCUAGGCAGGGAUGCAUGGCUCCGCCCUGCAGAGGGGCAAAGUUCCCCACCGCCACUCCUGCCCCGGGCAUGGCUCCGCACCGGAACACUGCUGGCAGUGCCGCAGGGCUGGGGGUUGCCAAGAUGGGGUCUUGCACCCUGGCCUUCCUCCUCUUCUUCCUCCUCCUCGUCCACGGGGUUGCAGUGGGCACCUCCAUGAGCUCUGAGGACACGGUGAGAAAUGGAGUAAACACGUCCCCUGGGGACCUUGCGUUGGACACAAGCGGGAGCAUCAGUACUAGUUCCAUCACCGACUCGAGCCUGACCACCACAAACAUGACCCCAACUACCACCACCGUCAUGAGCCCAACCAACACCACCACCUCGAGCCUGACCAACACCACCACCUCGAGCCCGACCAACACCACCAGCUCGAGCCCAACCAACACCAUCACCUCAAGCCCGACCAACACCAUCACCUCGAGCCCGACCAACACCAUCACCUCGAGCCCGACCAACACCACCAUCACGAGCCCGACCAACACCAUCACCUCGAGCCCGACCAACACCACCAGCUCGAGUUCGACCAACACCAUCACCUCGAGCCCGACCAACACCACCAUCACGAGCCCGACCAACACCAUC
rnacentral:lncRNA from 1 species